CCAGACUCCUACGGGAGGCAGCAGUAGGGAAUCUUCCGCAAUGGGCGAAAGCUUGACGGAGCAACGCCGCGUGAGUGAUGAAGGUCUUCGGAUCGUAAAACUCUGUUAUUAGGGAAGAACAAAUGUGUAAGUAACUAUGCACGUCUUGACGGUACCUAAUCAGAAAGCCACGGCUAACUACGUGCCAGCAGCCGCGGUAAUACGUAGGUGGCAAGCGUUAUCCGGAAUUAUUGGGCGUAAAGCGCGCGUAGGCGGUUUUUUAAGUCUGAUGUGAAAGCCCACGGCUCAACCGUGGAGGGUCAUUGGAAACUGGAAAACUUGAGUGCAGAAGAGGAAAGUGGAAUUCCAUGUGUAGCGGUGAAAUGCGCAGAGAUAUGGAGGAACACCAGUGGCGAAGGCGACUUUCUGGUCUGUAACUGACGCUGAUGUGCGAAAGCGUGGGGAUCAAACAGGAUUAGAUACCCUGGUAGUCCACGCCGUAAACGAUGAGUGCUAAGUGUUAGGGGGUUUCCGCCCCUUAGUGCUGCAGCUAACGCAUUAAGCACUCCGCCUGGGGAGUACGACCGCAAGGUUGAAACUCAAAGGAAUUGACGGGGGCCCGCACAAG
rnacentral:rRNA from 1 species